UACGAAGGGGGCUAGCGUUGCUCGGAAUCACUGGGCGUAAAGGGCGCGUAGGCGGACGAUCAAGUCAGGGGUGAAAUCCUGGAGCUCAACUCCAGAACUGCCUUUGAUACUGGGAAGCUUGAGUCCGGAAGAGGUGAGUGGAACUCCGAGUGUAGAGGUGAAAUUCGUAGAUAUUCGGAAGAACACCAGUGGCGAAGGCGGCUCACUGGUCCGGUACUGACGCUGAGGUGCGAAAGCGUGGGGAGCAAACAGG
rnacentral:rRNA from 1 species